GGGACACGUGGUAUCCUGUCUGAAUAUGGGGGGACCAUCCUCCAAGGCUAAAUACUCCUGACUGACCGAUAGUGAACCAGUACCGUGAGGGAAAGGCGAAAAGAACCCCGGCGAGGGGAGUGAAAAAGAACCUGAAACCGUGUACGUACAAGCAGUGGGAGCACGCUUAGGCGUGUGACUGCGUACCUUUUGUAUAAUGGGUCAGCGACUUAUAUUCUGUAGCAAGGUUAACCGAAUAGGGGAGCCGAAGGGAAACCGAGUCUUAACUGGGCGUUAAGUUGCAGGGUAUAGACCCGAAACCCGGUGAUCUAGCCAUGGGCAGGUUGAAGGUUGGGUAACACUAACUGGAGGACCGAACCGACUAAUGUUGAAAAAUUAGCGGAUGACUUGUGGCUGGGGGUGAAAGGCCAAUCAAACCGGGAGAUAGCUGGUUCUCCCCGAAAGCUAUUUAGGUAGCGCCUCGUGAAUUCAUCUCCGGGGGUAGAGCACUGUUUCGGCAAGGGGGUCAUCCCGACUUACCAACCCGAUGCAAACUGCGAAUACCGGAGAAUGUUAUCACGGGAGACACACGGCGGGUGCUAACGUCCGUCGUGAAGAGGGAAACAACCCAGACCGCCAGCUAAGGUCCCAAAGUCAUGGUUAAGUGGGAAACGAUGUGGGAAGGCCCAGACAGCCAGGAUGUUGGCUUAGAAGCAGCCAUCAUUUAAAGAAAGCGUAAUAGCUCACUGGUCGAGUCGGCCUGCGCGGAAGAUGUAACGGGGCUAAACCAUGCACCGAAGCUGCGGCAGCGACGCUUAUGCGUUGUUGGGUAGGGGAGCGUUCUGUAAGCCUGUGAAGGUGUGCUGUGAGGCAUGCUGGAGGUAUCAGAAGUGCGAAUGCUGACAUAAGUAACGAUAAAGCGGGUGAAAAGCCCGCUCGCCGGAAGACCAAGGGUUCCUGUCCAACGUUAAUCGGGGCAGGGUGAGUCGACCCCUAAGGCGAGGCCGAAAGGCGUAGUCGAUGGGAAACAGGUUAAUAUUCCUGUACUUGGUGUUACUGCGAAGGGGGGACGGAGAAGGCUAUGUUGGCCGGGCGACGGUUGUCCCGGUUUAAGCGUGUAGGCUGGUUUUCCAGGCAAAUCCGGAAAAUCAAGGCUGAGGCGUGAUGACGAGGCACUACGGUGCUGAAGCAACAAAUGCCCUGCUUCCAGGAAAAGCCUCUAAGCAUCAGGUAACAUCAAAUCGUACCCCAAACCGACACAGGUGGUCAGGUAGAGAAUACCAAGGCGCUUGAGAGAACUCGGGUGAAGGAACUAGGCAAAAUGGUGCCGUAACUUCGGGAGAAGGCACGCUGAUAUGUAGGUGAAGCGACUUGCUCGUGGAGCUGAAAUCAGUCGAAGAUACCAGCUGGCUGCAACUGUUUAUUAAAAACACAGCACUGUGCAAACACGAAAGUGGACGUAUACGGUGUGACGCCUGCCCGGUGCCGGAAGGUUAAUUGAUGGGGUCAGCGCAAGCGAAGCUCUUGAUCGAAGCCCCGGUAAACGGCGGCCGUAACUAUAACGGUCCUAAGGUAGCGAAAUUCCUUGUCGGGUAAGUUCCGACCUGCACGAAUGGCGUAAUGAUGGCCAGGCUGUCUCCACCCGAGACUCAGUGAAAUUGAACUCGCUGUGAAGAUGCAGUGUACCCGCGGCAAGACGGAAAGACCCCGUGAACCUUUACUAUAGCUUGACACUGAACAUUGAGCCUUGAUGUGUAGGAUAGGUGGGAGGCUUUGAAGUGUGGACGCCAGUCUGCAUGGAGCCGACCUUGAAAUACCACCCUU
rnacentral:rRNA from 1 species